AACGAACGCUGGCGGCAUGCCUAACACAUGCAAGUCGAACGAGACCUUCGGGUCUGGUGGCUCACGGGUGCGUAACGCGUGGGAACCUGCCCUUAGGCUCGGAAUAACUCCCCGAAAGGGGGGCUAAUACCGGAUAAUGUCUUCGGACCAAAGAUUUAUCGCCCUUGGAUGGGCCGGCGUUGGAUUAGCUAGUUGGUAGGGUAAAAGCCUACCAAGGCGACGAUCCAUAGCUGGUCUGAGAGGAUGAUCAGCCACACUGGGACUGAGACACGGCCCAGACUCCUACGGGAGGCAGCAGUGGGGAAUAUUGGACAAUGGGCGAAAGCCUGAUCCAGCAAUGCCGCGUGAGUGAUGAAGGCCUUAGGGUUGUAAAGCUCUUUUACCCGGGAUGAUAAUGACAGUACCGGGAGAAUAAGCUCCGGCUAACUCCGUG
rnacentral:rRNA from 1 species